rnacentral:tRNA from 1 species
GGAGGUUGGGUCAUCGGUAGCUCAACAGCCGAAGAUUGGCAUUUCCACCCUGCUAAGGUGGAGUUCCCUUACGGGAACCGAGGGUUCAAGUCCCUCCGUCUCCGCCA